rnacentral:tRNA from 1 species
UCCCCUUCGUCUAGUGGCCCAGGACACCGCCCUUUCACGGCGGUAACAGGGGUUCGACUCCCCUAGGGGACGCCA